GUGCUUGCUUUGGCAGCACAUAUACUAAAACUGGAACAAUACAGAGAUUAGUAUGGCCCCUGCGCAAGGAUGACACGAAAAUUCGUGAAGCGUUCCAUAUUUUU